rnacentral:rRNA from 1 species
GUGUCAGCAGCCGCGGUAAUACGUAGGAUGCAAGCGUUAUCCGGAUUCACUGGGCGUAAAGAGUCGUGUAGGUGGUUUGCCGCAUCGCACUUGAAAGCCCGAGGCUUAACCUCGGCGUUGGGUGCGAGAUGGGUAGACUGGAGGGAGGCAGAGGAAAGGGGAACUCAUGGUGAAGCAGUGAAAUGCGUUGAUAUCAUGAGGAACACCAAAGGCGAAGGCACCUUUCUGGGCCUCUUCUGACACUGAGACACGAAAGCUAGGGGAGCGAAGCAGAUUAGAAACCCGCGUAGUCC